AGCAGCCGCGGUAAUUCCAGCUCCAAUAGCGUAUAUUAAAGUUGUUGCAGUUAAAAAGCUCGUAGUUGAAUUUCGGAGUUUGUCGGUUGGUCGGGCUUCACUGUCCGCACUGGCCUGAUGGAUUCCUACCUUCUGAAUAACUAGCAUGCUAUUAAUUUAGUGCGUUGGGGAAGCAGAGCUAUUACCUUGAAAAAUUAGAGUGCUUAAAGCAGGCUUACGCUUGAAUAGAUUAGCAUGGAAUAAUAAAAUAGGACGGCUUGGUUCUAUUUUGUUGGUUUCUAGGAUCACCGUAAUGAUUAAUAGGGAUAGUUGGGGGCAUUAGUAUUCAAUUGUCAGAGGUGAAAUUCUUGGAUUUAUUGAAGACUAACUUCUGCGAAAGCAUUUGCCAAGGAUGUUUUCAUUAAUCAAGAACGAAAUUAGGGGAUCGAAGACGAUCAGAUACCGUCGUAGUCUUAACCAUAAACUAUGCCGACUAGGGAUCGGACGAUGUUAAUUUUUUAAUGACUCGUUCGGCGCCUUA
rnacentral:rRNA from 1 species